GGCUUAAUGAUUUUAAUUUUAGGUCGAUCUGCCCAAUGAUUUAAUUAUUUAAUGGCUGCAGUAUAAUUAACUGUACAAAGGUAGCAUAAUCAAUUGUUUUUUAAUUAAAAACUGGAAUGAAAGAAUUAAUGAGAUAUAUACUGUCUCAUAUAUAUUUUAUUAAUUUAAAUUUUUAGUAAAAAUGCUAAAAUAAAUUUAUGGGACGAUAAGACCCUAUAGAAUUUUAUAUUGAUAUUUAAAUUAAUAAUUUAUUUUAGAUAAUAAUAUUUAAUUGGGAGGAUUAAUAAAUUUAUAAAACUUUAUUUAAAAUAUAAACUUUAAUUUAAGAAUAAUUAAUGAUCUUGUAUUAUAAAUUAUAAGAAUAAAUUACCUUAGGGAUAACAGCGUAAUAUCUUUUUAAAGAUCAUAUUAAUAAAGAUGAUUGCGACCUCGAUGUUGAAUUAAGAUAAAUUUUAAAUGGAGAAAUUUAAUAAUUAAGUCUGUUCGACUUUUAAAAUCUU
rnacentral:rRNA from 1 species